UACGGGGGGGCAAGCGUUGUUCGGAAUUACUGGGCGUAAAGGGCUCGUAGGCGGCCAACUAAGUCAGACGUGAAAUCCCCCGGCUUAACCUGGGAACUGCGUCUGAUACUGGAAGGCUUGAGUAUGGGAGAGGGAUGUAGAAUUCCAGGUGUAGCGGUGAAAUGCGUAGAUAUCUGGAGGAAUACCGGUGGCGAAGGCGGCAUCCUGGACCAUUACUGACGCUGAGGCGCGAAAGCUAGGGGAGCAAACGGG
rnacentral:rRNA from 1 species